GUAGCAUACCGCUGACGACCGGCGCACGGGUGAGUAACACGUAUCCAACCUACCCCUUUUACGGGGAUAGCCUUUCGAAAGAAAGAUUAAUACCCGAUAUUAUAGCGAUAAGGCAUCUUAUUGCUAUUAAAGAAUUUCGGUGUUUGAUGGGGAUGCGUUCCAUUAGAUUGUUGGUGAGGUAACGGCUCACCAAGUCUCCGAUGGAUAGGGGUUCUGAGAGGAAGGUCCCCCACAUUGGAACUGAGACACGGUCCAAACUCCUACGGGAGGCAGCAGUGAGGAAUAUUGGUCAAUGGACGAGAGUCUGAACCAGCCAAGUAGCGUGAAGGAUGAAGGCCCUAUGGGUCGUAAACUUCUUUUAUAGGGGAAUAAAGUGCGGAACGUGUUCCGCUUUGUAUGUACCCUACGAAUAAGGAUCGGCUAACUCCGUGCCAGCAGCCGCGGUAAUACGGAGGAUCCGAGCGUUAUCCGGAUUUAUUGGGUUUAAAGGGAGCGUAGGUGGACGUAUAAGUCAGUUGUGAAAGUUUGCGGCUCAACCGUAAAAUUGCAGUUGAUACUGUAUGUCUUGAGUGUACAAGAGGUGGGCGGAAUUCGUGGUGUAGCGGUGAAAUGCUUAGAUAUCACGAAGAACUCCGAUUG
rnacentral:rRNA from 1 species